CAUAUACAUUACAUGCAAACCCAUAGAAUGACAAAUAUCCUUCUUUAAGGUAUAUAAACAUGAGAUUUUAUACAUAGCACACAGUUCUGGGGGGCUAAGUCUUUAUAGAAGAUCAACCAGGAGGUUCUAUAUUUCAUAAGUAAUAUUCAUUUUCUGAUACUGCUCAAUUUUGUUUUGAAAGAAUUUUCUCAAUUGGAAAAAACUGGAACAACGCCUGAUUUCAAGGAACGCUGUUAGACAUAUAUGUUAUGUGAUAAUCUCUAUCGUAUAUUAUUGAAAUAGGAAAAUCAUUUUAUAUUUUUGAUCAAUAUAUUUUCACUGGCUA